AUCGGACAAACGUUCCUUAAGCUUGCUGCAAAUGAAGGAUGCAUUGUUGGGUCUAUGUCGUGCGUUGCGUUGAAGUUGCGGAUUCUAUUCUGGAAGGAUGAGCAGUGGGAAAAUCCGAUAGUGUGGCCUCCUGCAACAGCAUCAUGUGUAAGUAACAAGUUAAUCCCUUUUUGCUUUAGUUAAAUAAUGUUGAAUUAAAACAUAUAAAGUUUAUCAUUUCGGUUAACCUGAAAGAGCUACGAGGUCAUCCAUGGAUAGGCCUCUUUGAGAGAAGCUUUGUUGCAGUUGAGAUAUGUUGAAAGUCGGAGCCGGCAAUUGUAUAGUUUCGCUAGCCUUUGAUGUUCUACCAUCUUUUCUUCCCUUAGGCACUUCCCAUGUAGGACCUCCAGACUAUCAUGAAUUUGAUCAAAUAGACACCAUUAGAUCAAUCAUUAUGCAUGCAUAUAUUCAAUGCACAUACAGAAUCCACACUAAAGAAAGUUGUCGUCUUACGAGCACGACAGCAUCCCUUGCGGCAAAAGCCAAAAUAUCAGCACACGAGACUACACCAGGACACGCUGCUUCGACUUCUUUCUUUGCAUUUUCUAUAACAUAAAAUCCAUGCAAAGAAAGAUUUGCAGGCCCAUCUUUUUCAGCUUUAUUGUUUCCCUUUGAGUACAACAGCACAGAAGCAUCACAACCCUGAAAAGAAAAAGCCCAAAUCAAUAUCUAAACCCAACUUUGAAUCCGACAUCCCUAAAAUCUACACCAAAUUACCCUUAUAAAACAAUCAUGAAAAUGCAUUCGAAGAAGGGCUGCAGGGACCGUCUUAUCCUUCAUGGUGGCACGCUCGACAGCUUUUGCAACUAUCGACUCAACAUCAGGACAGGUUUUCUCAUAAUGAUUCAAGCUAAGAGCAAUGGCUGGUGAAGUCGACGCAGACACGAGCAAAACUAAGGUCAGUACUGCUAUGAGUAAAGCCAUUUUAAAAACCACUUUGUCUUCUUUUAUCAAAUUCAAAGUAGCUUUUAGCUCGUUUUGUAUGGGAAAGUUUAGAGAUUCAUAGAGAUUAUUUAUAGUGAGCCAAAGGAUGUGCUAGUAACAAAGGUCACCUAUAGGUGGCCCCAUUGCAUAUGGUAAUGAAAUGCUUGAAGAAAAAAUUAUGAUGUAGUGUUUAUUAAGCAUGCUUCAUCCUACCACAAAAUCCCCAUGCAACUGAUCUUUGUCAUUUUCAUAUCCAUAUUGAAAAUAAUCCAAUUUUUUUUCUUUUUCUUUUUUUUUUUCCUUUUUUGCUUGUGUGAUAUUUGUAACUAUGGUUUGUUAGGAUUAAUUUACUAAUUUUUUACAUGUAAAUAGCAUGUAAUUAAAUCGAUAUAUUUAGUUAAAAUUUGAGUUGGCUAAUUCUCUAAUAUUUAUUUAUUCAUUUAUUUUUAAGUUGGGUAAUUUUAUGAAAUUUAUCUAUAAUGGGGAUUAGGCUGAGGCUUGUAGCCAUUGCUAAUGUUUGAUACAACAACAGGAAAAAGAUAGAUUCUCGUUUGUUCAAAAGGGAAGAGGUUAGGGUGUAACAAUCAGAGUAGUUAUUUGUGCUUAUAAAGCUUGUUCUCUAAGUCUCUUAACUUUAUCAAAUUAAGGCUAACCUUUUUGCUCUUUAGUAUUAUACUUUGCAAAAGGUGUUCACGGGUCCAGGUUAAAUAAAAGUAUAUGUUGAGUUGUUUGUCCUGAAUUGGUGGACUCGUAAAUAAAUUUAGUAUUGUCUUGGUAACAGUUUUGUCUCUCAACUUUGUUAAAAAUUUUAGUGUCUCUUUAAACCAUCUUUACAAGGACUCGCACUUAAACCAUCUUUACAAGGACUCGCACUUUCAACAGAGUUGGGAGACAAAAUUACCACCCGAGACAUAUCGAACUUAUUGAGGGGUCCACUAGCUCUAAACAAAUGACACUUUACAAACUUCUCUAAAAAAAUAAAAAAUCCCUCACCAGUAUAGUAUUAACAUCAUAGAUACGCACUUAAACUUAAGAUCAAUUCAAUAUGAAAUAUGAAUAUCAAAUUCUAUCUAGAUUUUUCUAUCAUAUUUGUAAAUUAAUGAUUGAGACUUUGAUUAAACCUUCACAUAUUUAUUUUUUUAAAUGUCUACCAAAUAUCGAAUUGAGCUUUAGAAACUUAGCUUUAACCCAUGUUUAUGUCUAAUGUAAGCAGAUUAGUCCAUUUAUAUUUUCUUUUGUUAGAUAUAUUUGUAUUUUUACAUUUGAUAUAACCUUUUACGUAUUAAUAACUCAUGUUAUAUAAUUUGUCAUAUUCAUAUAUUCAUUUUUUGUUUACAUUAUUCUUUUGGUAUCAUAUUUUAUUAUUUGUUUUCGUCUUUUAUUUUCAAAAUUGCUAGAGUAUUUACAUCGUAUCAUUGCAUUUAGCUUUGUCAAUUGGUGAGGACAUCAAGUUAUAUAAGAUGAGUCAAUUCGUGUAUCUAUUAUAUUUGUAUAUUAUAUUAGGUCAAAUUCUUCUAUUAGUCCCUAUGCUAUGCAUAAGUUCUGAAAUUAAUCUCUUGCUCCAAUUUAGUCCAUUUUAAUCUCUGUAUUUUUAUUUUUUGAAAUUUCAGUCAUGAAUUAAAUAGUAAUAGUUAAAUCCGUUAGAUUAAAAUUUACGUAAAUUAUGAAUUUAGUUCAUCUAAAAAUAACAAAAUGACAUGACAUUAUCUAUACGAUAAUAUUUUUUUCUCGUAAAAUUUUGGAAGUAACAUAAUUAACAAAUUUAAUGGCUAAUUAGGCUUUUUUUACCAUAAUGUUGAAAGUAUUAUAUAUCUAUUUUUUACCAUGAUGUUGAAAGUAUUAUAUAUCUACACAAAAUUUUGAUGUAUUAUAUAGUUUUUAUCGGAAAUUAUAAAUUUAAAGAAAAAAAAAAGCCGGAAACACCAAAAUUUUAUAACUUAGAAAUGUAAGUAAAUGCUGUAAAAAUAAUACUCAUUUAUCAAAAUCAAAACAUAUUUACAAACCUGUGUAAUUAUGCCACUAACAUGAAAAAACAAAACUAUAGUAAGUUAAAAAAUGUUUCCCCCAUUGUAUAAUCCUAAAACAAUAACAUACCCUAUGGUACAGGGUCUAGGUGAGGGGCACUUUGCAAUUAAAAAAAAUUAAAUUAGAGCAAAAUAUAGGACCAGAGCAAUUGUGAAUACAUAAGAAAAAGCUUUAAGUUGGGUUGAUUUAUUUGUCAUAGGUGGUGGAUAUGACCCUGGAGCUCCAGCAUUACUGCUGUUUCUGGCCGUUGCUUCCGGUUUAACGGCAGUAGCCGGAGGGACCGCUGAUGGUGGUAUCACCGGUAAAGUGUUUGAACUCUCGAUAUUGUAACCUGUGGAAAUUGGAUUGUUAAAAAGAUUUACGAGAUGAACUAGUGGAGGAGAUUGAAGAGAAGUUACUUACAAUCGGAUGCUUUCCAGCCAACUACCAUCUUUUCUCGAUCGAAGACUAUACGAUAACCGGUCAUGAAGUUUUCUGGAUCGGAUUUAAUAAAAAAAAUGUAAGUAGCAAUUGGAGAUUUUCCAACUCGAAAUACCUAAAAACUUCUAAUGGAAUGUUUGAUCAUUUGUAGAUAAGGAUCUUUACAAACAUCAUAUUGAUUAUGAGUUCAGUGUUUGUAAAUUGGAUCCAGAGAGACUUACGUCCGAUGAUAUUCACGCUGUCGCUUUUCACGACUGCCAAGCAAUAUAUAGCUCCACCCUGCAUGGGGAGCACUGCUAUUGGAUCAUUAACCAAAAGCUGAUCUCCG
rnacentral:lncRNA from 1 species